rnacentral:rRNA from 1 species
GACGAACGCUGGCGGCGUGCUUAACACAUGCAAGUCGAGCGGUAAGGCCCUUUCGGGGGUACACGAGCGGCGAACGGGUGAGUAACACGUGGGUGACCUGCCCUUACGCUCUGGGAUAAGCCUGGGAAACUGGGUCUAAUACCGGAUAUGACUCCAUGACGCAUGUUGUGGGGUGGAAAGCCUUGUGCGGCUAGGGAUGGGCCCGCGGCCUAUCAGCUUGUUGGUGGGGUGAUGGCCUACCAAGGCGACGACGGGUAGCCGGCCUGAGAGGGCGACCGGCCACACUGGGACUGAGACACGGCCCAGACUCCUACGGGAGGCAGCAGUGGGGAAUCUUGCGCAAUGGGCGAAAGCCUGACGCAGCGACGCCGCGUGGGGAUGACGGCCUC